CUGUGUUUCCAAGGAUUCCAACAUGACUCGGAACCCAUAGAAAUAUUAUUUCUUUCAGAAGAAUUUUUAAAUUCCUCAUUACAUAUAAAAUUUGGAGAUUGUUUGGGUUUUUAAUUUUAGUAUUUUGUAUAGCUUGUAAGCAUGAAAGUGAAUCAGAACAUAUAAUAAAUUUGGAUUUAUCUGAAGAAGCAAUAAAUUUCAAAGCCAAAAUUAUUGCUUCUGCUUCAGCAGUAAAGAUGGAUGCAUCAGAUGGCAAACGGAGAGUUGCAGCUCUGUCCCUGAAGACAGCAGCAGAUGCAACUCUGUCGCCAUCUUUUGAUCCAUCAGUAUAGACAGUUGAAAAAUCUGGAUAAUUGGCUUUAAUUUCAGCAUAGUGUUGCUGAAUUAAAAGAGGAUUUGUUUUAUUUUUAUUGUGUUCACGGAGAUCAAAUAUC
rnacentral:lncRNA from 1 species